GACGAACGCUGGCGGCGUGCCUAAUACAUGCAAGUGGGACGCAAGGGCACACACUGUGCUUGCACACCGUGUGUUCUUGAGGCGCGAACGGGUGGUUGACGCGUAGGUAACCUGCCUGGUAGCGGGGGGUAACUGUUGGAAACGAUAGCUAAUACCGCAUAAUAUUAAUUAUUGCAUGAUAAUUGAUUGAAAGCUGCAAUCGAAUCACUAGUAGCUGGACAUUCGUUGUAUUAGCUAGUUGGUAAGGUAAGAGCUUACCAAGGCGACGAUACAUAGCCGACCUGAGAGGGUGAUCGGCCACACUGGGACUGAGACACGGCCCAGACUCCUACGGGAGGCAGCAGUAGGGAAUCUUCGGCAAUGGAGGAAAGUCUGACCGAGCAACGCCGCGUGAGUGAAGAAGGGUUUCGGAUCGUAAAGCUCUGUUGUAAGUCAAGAACGUGUGUGAGAGUGGAAAGUUCACACAGUGACGGUAGCUUACCAGAAAGGGACGGCUAACUACGUG
rnacentral:rRNA from 1 species